rnacentral:rRNA from 1 species
UCUGAAAAGAUAUAGAAGGUCCAGCCUGCCCAGUGACAAAGUUAAACGGCCGCGGUACCCUAACCGUGCGAAGGUAGCGCAAUCACUUGUUCUUUAAAUGAGGACUAGUAUGAACGGCAUCACGAGGAUUAUACUGUCUCCCCCCUUUAAUCAGUGAAACUGAUCCCCCCGUGAAGAAGCGGGGAUAGACCUAUAAGACGAGAAGACCCUAUGGAGCUUUAAACUAACACCACCUGUCUAUAAACACUUCAUAACAAACAGACAAACCUCCGUGCUAGUUUUUGGUUGGGGUGACCGCGGAGCAAAAUAAAACCUCCACGAUGAAAAGACUUUCCCUCUUAAUCCAAGAGCAACAUCUCAAAGAAUUGGCAAACCAACACAACUGAUCCAAAUAAUACUUUGAUCAACGAAC